CGCCCCGCCCCGCCCGGCCCUGUUCCUCGCCUUCGCCCUCGCCCCCCGCCCCAAGACUGUCCUAAGUAGGCGUUCGAUCGCUUACAUCGAGGGUCGUUUCCGUCUUCCUCCGGAGCUCCGACUAGGGCUUCGAAGAUAUCUGUUUCGAGCCAUUUGCUUCUGGUGACAUACCAUCGAGCUCGUGUCUUGUUCGAUGCAAUUCUUACCGGGUUGUCAUAUGAUCGUUGUUCAUUUUCUCCAAUCCAAUCGACUAGGAUGGACGCCAAUGAAAGCAACGCGAUUGCCGUUCACAAUCCGAGAGCCCGGAAGUUGCGAUCAUUGGUCUGGAAUGAUUUCACUAAGGAGCGCAAGGCCGAUGGGAGCUACGUCGCCGUAUGCAACCACUGCAAGAAGCAGCUCACGGCGAGCAGCCGGAGUGGGACGACGCAUCUGAAGAACCACCUGGUGAUUUGCACAUCUACCAAGCGGAUCAAGCGCAAGAAGCUGGUCGUCCGCCGGCUCGUCCUCACGUCGAGCGACGCCAAGAGUGAGGGUGUUCUGAGUUCCGAUCACUCCCAGUUUGAUCAGGAGGCGAGCCGGCAAGAUCUCGCCCGCAUGGUCAUUCUGCAUGGGUAUCCGUUCAACAUCGUCCAUCAUGUCGGCUUCAGGACAUUUGUUAGGAAUCUUCAGCCACUCUUUAAAUUGGUGUCCGCCGAUGUCGUGAAGGCAGAUUGCAUGAAGAUGUACGAGAAUGAGAGGCUGAGGUUGCAUGAAGUACUAGACAGGCUACAUUCUCGGGUCAGCCUCAAUGUCGAUGUGUGGAGGUCGAAUGAGGAUGUAGAGUAUGCUUGUGUGUCGUGCCACUAUGUUGAUAAUGAUUGGAGGCUUAAGAAGAAGAUCCUUAACUUUGCUCAUGUCGGAUGUCCAGAGAAGGAACAAGAAAUCAGUAAAAUUAUAUUGGAGAAGUUGCAGGAGUGGAAUAUCGAUGGGAAGCUAUGUAGCAUAGUUCUCGACAAUUGUAGAACCAGUGAUUUGGUGGCAAGUGAGCUUCUUGGAUCCCUUCGUAUGAAGGGUUUCCUUAUUUCAAAUGGUGAUCUAUUCUAUGCCCGAUCUUGUGGUCAUUUGCUGAAUCUUGUUGUCCAGAAAGGCCUCGAAUUGGCUUGUGAAAUCAUUGAUAGAGUCCGUGCUUGCGUGCAAAAUGUAAAAUCCUCACAAGACAGGCUAGCAAGAUUUCAGAAAGAUGCCGAGCAAAUGGGCAUCCCACAAAAGCCAUUAGUUCUUGAUGCUCCAGCUAGUUGGCCAUCAACAUACUUCAUGCUUGAAACUGCAUGUCAAUAUCAAGAGGCUUUUAAGAACUUAGCAGAGAAUGAUGUGGAAAACACAUGCUUUCUUUCACCGAAGGAUUGGAGUGAUGUUAGAGCUAUUGUUGGGUGUCUACAAGUGCUUUACAAUGAUGCUAUGGUCAAGUUUUCUGCUGCAGGAGUCCCAACUUCCAAUCUAUUUUUUAGAGAUAUGUGUGGUAUUCAUUUGCUAUUGAAGUCCUGGUGCAGUAGCCCGCAGCCUUUUGUUGCAUCAAUGGCCAAAGAGAUGCUUGAGAAAUUUGAACAGUAUUGGGAUUUAACUAGAAUGCCAAUGGCAAUCGCUUCUGUUUUAGAUCCUCGAUAUAAGAUGAAGCCAGUUGAAUACUUCUUCAAUCGAAUUUAUGAUGAUGCAUCUGAAGCCAAGACAAAGAUCGAUAAUGUUCGUGACAGCUUUGUAAAUCUGUACAAUGAAUAUAUAGGCCAGUCUGCUAAUUCUUCAAAAAACCAAGCCUCCUAUGGUGGAAAUAGUAGUAGCUAUGAUGGUGCUGACCAUGGGAAUGGUGCAGAAUGUAAAUCUUCUCGUGUCACACUAUCUGACACACAACGUGGGUUGGAUCAGUAUCUUAAAGAGACGUCAUCAGGUCAUCCAGCAAGAUCUGAUCUGGAUAUGUACUUGGAGGAAGCUGUUCAUCCCUCAAAAAGUCUUGAUGACAAUUUUGAUAUCUUAGCUUGGUGGAAAUAUAAUGCUGCCAAAUAUCCUGCUCUUUCUAUGAUGGCUCGUGAUAUUUUAGCAAUUCCUAUUUCAGUAGUUCCGUUAGACAGUGAAGCGAGAUCAUUAAAUCACUAUUUAAGUGCGACCGAUGCAGUGAUUGUAGAAUGCUUGAUAUGUGCACAAGAUUGGAUAGGAGAUGAAACAGAGGUGUCGCCAGUGAACACCCUUGCACUUGUUUCUUCGGCUGCUAGCUUUGAGGGCCAUGGUGAUGAGUACUUGUUACCUGCUGAUGGUGAUUAGUUUUCACCAAUGUGAAGCAGGUACAAGUUGGAUUCAUUGAAACAAGUUUAUUAAGACUACAAGAUCACUGAAAUGACGGAAUAGGAUAAAUCUUUGUGAGCAAAGGAACUGUAGCAUUUUAAGGCAACUGAAAGACAGAAUGAUUAUUGACUCCACAUGCUGACUCACAAAGCCGAAUCUUGUAGUUCUUCUACUCUUCUCACGUGUGUAUUAAGAAGAACCAGUUCGGACCAGUUAGAUGGGCAUUGUAAUUUAUCGUGCUAUCUAUUCUGGCCUUAUUUAACAAAUGUAUAGACUUGUCCAUCUUGCAAGUAUAAAAGCUAUUCGGGGUCCAUCUUGCAAGCAUAAAACCUAUUCGGGAUAUAUAGUCUUCGUCAUCUUUUGUUGUCUCUGCAAGUAUUAUCUGAUCAAUGACUCAGAACUCUCACUUGAAAGGAACCUGACAAUCAAUUGGAUUUUGCAGUCUUCACCAUCUUUUGUUGUCUCUGCAAGUAUUAUCUGAUCAAUGACUCAGAACUCUCACUUGAAAGGAACCUGACAAUCAAUUGGAUUUUGCAUGCUGUGGUGGAUUGUCAAAGAGGUCAUGAAGCCCUUGGUCACCAGAAGCUGUAGAUGCUUGUACUUGCAUGAAGGUGAGUUAACAAAUCUCUUGUAUUGACUAAGACACUCUACAACAAUUGGUACCUACAGUUCUCAACAACACAGCUUUGUAUAUGCAUUUG